rnacentral:rRNA from 1 species
GCAGCCGCGGUAAUACGUAGGUGGCAAGCGUUGUCCGGAUUUACUGGGUGUAAAGGGCGCGUAGGCGGGAAAGCAAGUCAGGUGUGAAAUCUAUGGGCUCAACCCAUAAACUGCACUUGAAACUGUUUUUCUUGAGUGUCGGAGAGGUUGACGGAAUUCCUAGUGUAGCGGUGAAAUGCGUAGAUAUUAGGAGGAACACCAGUGGCGAAGGCGGUCAACUGGACGAUAACUGACGCUGAGGCGCGAAAGCGUGGGGAGCAAACAGGAUUAGAUACCCC